rnacentral:rRNA from 1 species
GUCCACGCCGUAAACGAUGGAUACUAGCUGUUGGGCGCAAGUUCAGUGGCUAAGCGAAAGUGAUAAGUAUCCCACCUGGGGAGUACGUUCGCAAGAAUGAAACUCAAAGGAAUUGACGGGGGGCACGCACAAGCGGUGGAGCAUGUGGUUUAAUUCGAUGAUACGCGAGGAACCUUACCAAGGCUUAAAUGUAGUUUGACCGGACUGGAAACAGACCUUUCGCAAGACAAAUUACAAGGUGCUGCAUGGUUGUCGU